AAGAGUAAAAGAACUGUGGCUUCCACCCCAUCAGAAGGGCACUGGAUGAUGGAUGAACUCUGUGUGGUGUGUCUUCACACUGACACCAGGAGGAUAAGGAAGUGAGUGACUCCCUCAGCUGAGUGGCCGGCAUGUGCCAGGCUAGAGCAGCCUGGCUAUGGCAAUACAUCCAGCCCCACCGUGUGGACGGGCGGCCAGGCGGCCAGGCUGCAGGAGGAGUGUGACUAUGUGCAGAUGAUCGAGGUGCAGCACAAGCAGUGCCUGGAGGAGGCCCAGCUGGAGAAUGAGACAAUAGGCUGCAGCAAGAUGUGGGACAACCUCACCUGCUGGCCAGCCACCCCUCGGGGCCAGGUAGUUGUCUUGGCCUGUCCCCUCAUCUUCAAGCUC
rnacentral:sRNA from 1 species